CGCCUGACCUGCCGAGCCUCAGACCCUCUCGGAGUCACCCGGUGUCUCUCCUGCGCAUCGCUUGCUCUGCAGAUCUGCAUCCUGCGCGCCCGUUCCCCCUCCCUUCUGGCACACAGAGCCCAGCGCAGGCCCUGACCCGGACUCCGACCCCACGGGUCCCUUCCCGGGACCCUCACCGGGUGUGUGUAACCCGGCGGAUCCAAUCGUGCACACCCUGGACCUCAGAGACCUCCGCGAGUGAAUCUUGGCCCGGCAGGUGCUAAUCCUGGUGGUACGAGCUCCCCAGGGGAAGGAGCGAGCGGGUGUGACUCAUCCUGCCCUUUCUCCUGCACUGUCCUCUGUCCUGGGGUCCCACGCUCAGGGUCUCAAAUACCACAAGCCAUCCUUAAACUGUCGAUGUUUGCAAGAAUGACCUCAGGUGACUGAUCUUCGCCAGCACUCCCUGAUAGCUGGGAUCACAGGCAUCCGCCACCAUGCCUGGAUUCCUGCCCCAUCCUGGGCUCUUUCUGCAGGACUGGAAUCCAGGGCUUGGUGCAUGCAGGUAGGUGCUGUCAGUUACUCUGGCUGCUGUGGCAGCACAGACAGCACUUUUGUGUUUUAUGACAGAAUUUCCCAUGGCUCAGACUCCUCUCAGAAGCCCAUUGUAGCUGAAGAGGCCCUCUCUUCCCUUUGUAGCAAGGAUAGCCCAGGACUAUGAAACCCAGGCUAUCCCAAAUUUAGUCUUUCAAGUGCUGGGAUUACAGAUAUGAAUGAUAUGAUUGGCUACAGUAGUGCUUGGGAGGGUUAUUUUGUUAAUGUGUGCAUAUGUGUGUACCUGUGAGUUUGUGUAUGUGCAUACAUGCAUCUGAAGAGGCUUCGAGGGGCAUUGAAUUUCAUGGAGUCACUGAAGACCGUGAGCCUCCAGGCAAGGGUGUUGGUAACCAAGCUUUGGUCCUCUGAAAGGUCAGGAAAUGCUCUGACGCAUCUCAGAGAGUGCCAGCAGCCUGGGACCCAGUGUACAAAUGCUCAAGACUAUGUGGACUGUUUCAAACCACCACGGCUCCUGUGUACACAAUCACAGCACCCAGGGAGCGAGCCAGGGCCUCACCACUGGACAAACACUCUGAAUGCAUCCUUGCUGGAGGACGCGUGCGGGAGCCAGGCUUUGAGUGUGAAGUCGUUUCUCAGUCUCUGCUUCCUGCUUGCAUUUGGAAAUGUGACCUCUCAGCUGCUGCCACUGCUACACCUUCCUCUGGAACCAUAAACUCAAACCUCCCUUUCUAAGUCGCCUUGGUCAUUUGAUCACACUAGGAAAUAAAUGAUAGCCAGGCACGGUGACAGGUCUUUAACCCCAGUACUCAGGCAGCAGAGGCAGGUGGAUCUCUGCGAGUUCCAGUCUGGUCCUCAAAGUGAAUCCAGGACAGGCAGGGCUCUGUCAAACAGAGAGACCCUGUUUUAAAAGAAAGAAAGAAAGGAAGGAAGGAAGGAA